GACGAACGCUGGCGGCGUGCCUAAUACAUGCAAGUCGAACGGUCUUUUCUAUGGAAGCUUGCUUCCACUGAGAAGAUAGUGGCGAACGGGUGAGUAACACGUGGGUAACCUGCCCAUAAGAGGGGGAUAACAUCCGGAAACGGGUGCUAAUACCGCAUAGUUUUCUUGAUCGCAUGAUCGGGAAAGGAAAGACGGCCUUUGUGCUGUCGCUGAGGGAUGGACCCGCGGCGUAUUAGUUAGUUGGUGAGGUAACGGCUCACCAAGACGAUGAUACGUAGCCGACCUGAGAGGGUGAUCGGCCACAUUGGGACUGAGACACGGCCCAAACUCCUACGGGAGGCAGCAGUAGGGAAUCUUCCGCAAUGGACGAAAGUCUGACGGAGCAACGCCGCGUGAGUGAAGAAGGUUUUCGGAUCGUAAAACUCUGUUGUCAGAGAAGAACAAGUUGGAGAGUAACUGCUCCAGCCUUGACGGUAUCUGACCAGAAAGCCACGGCUAACUACGUGCCAGCCGCCGCCGUAACAC
rnacentral:rRNA from 1 species